rnacentral:rRNA from 1 species
GUAGGACUACCCGCUGAACUUAAGCAUAUCAAUAAGCGGAGGAAAAGAAACCAACAAGGAUUCCCCUAGUAACUGCGAGUGAAGCGGGAAAAGCUCAAAUUUAAAAUCCUUCGGGAGUUGUAAUCUAGAGAAGCGUUUUCGGUCGUUGCCUCGGACAAGUCCCUUGGAACAGGGCGUCAUAGAGGGUGAGAAUCCCGUCCUUGCCGAGCUACCAACGUCUAUGUGAUGCGCUCUCGAAGAGUCGAGUUGUUUGGGAAUGCAGCUCAAAACGGGUGGUAAACUCCAUCUAAAGCUAAAUAUUGGCGAGAGACCGAUAGCGAACAAGUACCGUGAGGGAAAGAUGAAAAGCACUUUGGAAAGAGAGUUAAACAGUACGUGAAAUUGCUGAAAGGGAAGCGCUUGAAGUCAGUCGCGUGUAUGAGACUCAGCCUCACGGUGCAUUUCUCUUACACGGGUCAACAUCAGUUUCGACCGCGGGAAAAGGGCUUGAGGAAUGUGGCAGCCUCGGCUGUGUUAUAGCCUCUUGUCGUACAUCGCGGUUGGGACUGAGGACCGCUUAUAGGAUGUUGACGUAAUGGCUUUAAGCGACCCGUCUUGAAACACGGACC